AUUUGAUAUUUUUUUAAUUUUUAAAAAUAUUCAGGUCAAAAUGACAAAUUCACCAGGGCUGAACCUUCAAAAUAGGACAAUCUCAUAUAAACUCGCACAUCUGAAAAGCGCAUUUCCAGUUACCAAGCUUUUGAUUCUUAAACAAACUUAUUUUUCAGUGCAUUUGAUACAUACUUUGCCGCCCAGUUAUAAAGAUUUAUCCUAUUUAAGAAAAGUGGUGUACUAAGGCAGAAUAAAAAUGACAGUUUCUGCAUUAGUAGAAUGUUACAUUUGUGGAAAAUCAAAAGGAAUUUUCUCUGUCAUACAGUACUUUAUUCAGGCGAGAGAAAAGCAUUUUCUUUUUCUGUGAAAAUUGUUUUUAAAUGUAUUGGAUACGAGAAGUUCAAGACCUAAGCUGAGGUUUAUUGAAAGCAGGCGUGGUCAAUGGUGGCUUGUACACAAAGGUUACUACUACCGUAGAGACUGUACUUUACAGUAUAAAACUCAUUGGAGGUGUCGUUGGUAUGAUAAAUGUAAAUGCUACGCUAGAGUUCAUACAAAAAAUGAUGAGGUUGUCAAAGAACUUGGAUUUCAUAAUCAUGAACCAGACUGCUUGCCGGUGCCUGAAGCUUAUGAAAAUAAUUUUUUUCAUUAAGACUGCUAAAGCUCAUUUUAGUAAAGAAAAAAGUUGAGUUUUUCGGCUCUUUACGAAAUAAUUUUGUUGAAGACAAAUAUGUGGGACAAGCACUGAAAAUUGAGGGAACAGCAUUUCCUUUCAGUCGUACUUAAUGGAACGUCAAUUUUCUUCCCCUUUUUUUCCACUGUAUUUCUCAGAAACAUGCUGAAAAUCUUUCUCAUGGAAAUGUAAUUCACAAACCUAAAUCCAGAAAAUGUCAAAAUAGACCUGAUUAAAUUAAUUUUAUAAAGUAAUAAAAGUUAGAUUUCUUGUAAUGCAAAUUUUUUUUUAACAAAACAGGUAAUAUCAAGCAUAUGUGUCUUUAUUUUCCUACUCAGGAGGGGGG